rnacentral:rRNA from 1 species
UACGUAGGGUGCAAGCGUUGUCCGGAAUUAUUGGGCGUAAAGAGCUCGUAGGCGGUUUGUCGCGUCUGCUGUGAAAACGCGAGGCUCAACCUCGCGCCUGCAGUGGGUACGGGCAGACUAGAGUGCGAUAGGGGAGAUUGGAAUUCCUGGUGUAGCGGUGGAAUGCGCAGAUAUCAGGAGGAACACCGAUGGCGAAGGCAGAUCUCUGGGCCGUAACUGACGCUGAGGAGCGAAAGCGUGGGGAGCGAACAGG